UUGAUCUCUUCACUCUCUUUUUCUGAUGCCAAAGAAUCAAGCAAGUUGUUUGAUUCGAUUUUGGGUCAUGUAUUGAUAUGAGUUUCAUGCUUGGGUUUAGCUAAUUUUACUCAUGUCGUUGUCUUUCAGAUCUGUGCUGAUGGUUUCACGGUGACGUUCCCCAUCCCGCCGAUAGGUGAAAACCUCUCGCUCUCUGUUUUUGGUGAAGCCAUGGAACCUCUCUUUCUCUCUCUUUACGAAGCUUCCGGUGGUCUCCUCUCCGUUCUUCCUCUUUGCUUCACAGACCAAUGUUGGUGCUUCUCAGCUCAAAGACAACUCUUUGGUGGUGGAACAACGUCGAUUUCAAGGCGAGAGAAGCUAUGACGCAGCCAAGAUCGAGAAGCAGAUCUGAUGAAUUUCAUAGAAUCAAAGACUUAUUUAUAGGUAAAGAAAAAAGAAAGAAUGCAUUUAGUGAACAAAGUGGGAGGAGUGGGUCGGUUGUGUUAAACGCAACGUAAUGUUGACUAAAUCCCUGUGUCUUAUGAGUAACAUGAAUCGACAUCAGGAAUUGCUCCAAAAAAAAAAAGAAUCGACAUCAAGAUGGCAACGUCGCCCGAAAAAGAUGUAGCCAACAUGAGUCGGUUUAUUCAUUAAACCAAUUUGGACUUUCGUUUUAUCUAUUCUAUGGUCCAAUUCUAAAUAGAUAGUUAUUGUUGUGAGUGGCCCAACUCUAAAGAGAUUAUCACAAAGGUUUAAGGUCAACAUAGUAGCCCACAUACACAAAAUAUUUUCGUUUAAAAUUUCAUCAAACAAACCUCAAUCCCAUAGUUAUAACCCAUGUU